rnacentral:rRNA from 1 species
UGGGGAAUAUUGGACAAUGGGCGCAAGCCUGAUCCAGCCAUGCCGCGUGAGUGAUGAAGGCCCUAGGGUUGUAAAGCUCUUUCACCGGUGAAGAUAAUGACGGUAACCGGAGAAGAAGCCCCGGCUAACUUCGUGCCAGCAGCCGCGGUAAUACGAAGGGGGCUAGCGUUGUUCGGAUUUACUGGGCGUAAAGCGCACGUAGGCGGACUAUUAAGUCAGGGGUGAAAUCCCGGGGCUCAACCCCGGAACUGCCUUUGAUACUGGUAGUCUUGAGUUCGAGAGAGGUGAGUGGAAUUCCGAGUGUAGAGGUGAAAUUCGUAGAUAUUCGGAGGAACACCAGUGGCGAAGGCGGCUCACUGGCUCGAUUCUGACGCUGAGGUGCGAAAGCGUGGGGAGCAAACAGG